CAUUACCAAACGAUAUUCAUAUUUUUGUAACCUUAUUUAUUUUGCAUUUUUUAAUUUUAUCUUCUGAUUUUGAUUUAAUUUUCAUUAUUAUUUUGUUCGAUUGUCUUGUCUAUUGUAAAGUGUCAAGUUAAUUAUGGAUCAAAUCUGAAAGUGCAACCAUUCUAUUCGUGUAUCUAAUGUGUCUUCAACUCUAGUUUCUCCCUUGCAUCUUGGACUUGCUACAUUUAGUAAUUUGACUAUUUUAUCCAGAACCUAGGGGUGUGUUCGGAAAGUCAACCUUUAAUAUCUCUCUGUUUUUCAUGGUUGAUGAAGGACAAUCAAAAACAACCAGUGGCCAGUGACAAACCGACUUCCAACUUGAAUCGCCUUCAAACAAUUGAUUCGACACAGCUCUUGCUUGCACAUGGUUUCAUCUUUAUUCAUGUGGACUUUUGGUGAAUCUAUCUCUAUGCCAUGAAUUUUGUUCAAUUUUAAAGGGAAAACGCAUCAGAAUCGCGUGUUAAAUGGCCAAUGAUGAUUAGCUGCUCGGAAUUGAAAGAAAACAAACUAAUCAACUUUCGAUAAUGAUGGGUUCAAGUUAAAAAUAAAGGGAAACCUUGGGUCCUUGUUGGCUUGUACACCUUAGGGUUAUUCGUGAGGAACAGCAGCAGCAGCAGCAACGCGAAAAAAUAAAGUCAAAGGAUGAAACAAAAGCUAAAGUCAACUCUGGAAAAAGCGUAAAGGUCAAAAACGAUAAUAUUACCAAAGAGAAUGAAAGCUUCAUUGAUGAUAUCAACUUGGUUUGCUUAAAAAAAAUGUUACACUUUUGCUGAGUUCCGAAAAUGAAAAAAGGCGAAACUCUUUUUUUGCUGCGUCUCAACUUUUCUUCCUUUGCUAUUAUUGAUGUUAUUUUUGGUGUUUUUUACCUCGAGUCUCAAGUUACCCUGGCUCUUUUUUUUCUCUUAAUCAACUUUAUACCAGCGUUGACCAAACGGUCUGACCAUAGGCAAUGCUUAUUGAUGAAUCUUGAGUAUCUUCGUGCUCCUGUCAAUUGGAAAACAAUAAAACCUUUUCUUGUAUUUGUUUGCCCCUUGUUUAUCUCAAUAACUUUUACCAUUUAUUGCUGUUGCUGUUGUUUUUUUAAAACUUACAAUAUCUUGACAAAACUGACCUUUGGCUAGUCUUUUGUUGGAAUUAAAUUUCAUUGUCACGAUAACCCUCAUCAUGUCUUGUCUGGCAAGGUCAACAUCAACAUCAGCUUAAAAAAAGGAUACAAAGAGAUGUUGCUGUAGAUGCUAAUCAAAUGGAUCUUGUCAGAUUAUGAAUUUCUUUUAUUUGGCCUUUUGAUCUUCAUUUUAUCACUGGUUUAACAACAUUAUUUAUAAUCAAUGGAAGCUUCUCAUCUUAAGUUCUUAUUGUCAACUUGAUAAAUCUCACUAUUUUUGACGCUUUUCAGCUGAUAAACACAUUCAAAAAUACAUUUGGUCCAUUCCGUCAAGUUGCAAAGGAAACAAAGCGAACCCCUUCUUGAAGGAAAAAUCACAUGAAAGGCGCAAUUGAUUUACGCUAAUGAUUAAUGUUUGAUGCAAAAUAUGUCCAUCCACUUGAUGAUCCGAUGAAUCUUCAUCUUGGUAAAGCCAAACCUUGCCGCCAAGUUUACUGAAUCAAGUUUAGUCAAUUAAUCAGUUUUAAACUGAUAUAAUCAUUAUAAGACAGAAAGCUAAUAAUGAAGCUCAAAAAGUCAACAUAAAAGGCCAAAACUGAAACGCAAUGUAGAAAAAAAAGGAAAGAAAGUUAACGGGGAAGUGCGAAAGAGUAAAGAAAAGAAGAGAAAAAAGAAAGGAAAGUAAGAUAAUUUGGAGAUAUCGCCCAGCAGCACGGCCAGCCGAAUUGACCUUUUACUGAACGGGUUUUCUUCAAUCUUACUCAUCAACUGAAAAUUCUCUUUCAUCACCAAUUUUCUUCCCACCAAUGAUCGUACACUUGAUUCUCAUCCUUUCAGUUGCAUGUGUUUCUUCCAGUCUAAUGCAAGUCUUCGCCAUCAUUACCAACAGCAAACAGCAGAAGCUUCGUCCUUUCAUCUCAAAUUUGAUCUGUGGACAGGAACAAAAGUAAAAACAUCUUAAAAACCAUUAAGAUUCCGAGGUUCAAUAAAAAAAGGAAAAACAAAAAAUGACCUUUCAA